rnacentral:rRNA from 1 species
UACAGAGGUCUCAAGCGUUGUUCGGAUUCAUUGGGCGUAAAGGGUGCGUAGGUGGCGCGCUAAGUCAGGUGUGAAAUUUCGGAGCUUAACUCCGAAACUGCAUUUGAUACUGGCGUGCUUGAGGACUGGAGAGGAGACUGGAAUUCACGGUGUAGCAGUGAAAUGCGUAGAUAUCGUGAGGAAGACCAGUGGCGAAGGCGGGUCGUCUGGACAGUUCCUGACACUGAGGCACGAAGGCCAGGGGAGCAAACCGGG